CACCGCGGUUAUACGAGAGGCCCAAGUUGACAGAAAACGGCGUAAAAAGUGGUUAAUUGACUAAUAUACUAGAGCCAAACACCUUCAAGACCGUCAUACGCAACCGGAGGCAGGAAGCCCUACAACGAAAGUGGCUUUAACAUAUAAUGAGCCCACGAAAGCUAGGGGA
rnacentral:rRNA from 1 species